UCUCCCAUCUGAUAAAGCCCUGGCAUCGGCGUGUCUUCAAUCUCCCACCCCGAUAAAGCCCUAGCAUCGACGCUUUCAGUGUUUGGAAGAUUCUCCUUGCACUUUCACUUCAUGGGAGAGGGCACGACAUAUCAAAUGUUCAUCAAUUCUCCUUACAACUGAUCAUCACCAAUGACAGUAGUGACGAACACGAUGGCAGACAAAGCCCAAUACACGACUCCAACACCUCAAAAUCACCAAAAAAGAUGAUGAAAGCCAUUGCUGGCCGAUUCGAGAAGCUUUUUAGUAAACAAGAUGAUUCCUCCAUCAAAUAUGAUUCAUCAGAUUUACCCACAACUUCAUCCGACAACGGUGAGUCAAUAGAAGAAUCCGCCUUCACUACAACCUUCGAAGAAUCAAUGGAAACCAUGGAAUCAGCAGGCAAAGGAAAGGAAACGCCUGAAAGGUAUGAUUAUAGGUGGUGCAAAGCAAGGAUUGAAGGAGAGUUUUGACCAAUUUGCAGGAUUGCUUGGUCAAAGAGUCAAACUCGUGAAUUAGCUGAUUAUAUUAGACAUAGAUCAAAUGUUGGAGGCUUUGCUAAAUGAUCACUAAUCCCAUUAGGAACUGAGGGUGGGGUAUUUUUGUAAUUUCACUGUGUUUUCUACUGUUUUCAUGGUUGUUUAUGCUUUUGUGCAUAUUUUUCUAUGUGAUUCAAAUCGGAUUCAAGGUCUAGAGUUUAAUGGGCUUGAAUUGCCUGAUAGUUUUGGUGAAUUUGUUACGUGUCGAGUAAUUUUCUUCAACUUGGAGCGCGUUUAUAUCAUGGUUUCCCGGUUUGUCCAAGCUAGACUGAGUAGAGGAAACGAUCAUGGUGUCAAAGCUCAAGGUGAAUGAUGGGUGCUUACAGUAGCACUCAUCGAGGGAAACAAGUUAGCUCCAUUAGAUUGUUCAGGUUUCUUAGAUCCUUUUGUAGUGUUGACAUGUAAUGGGAAGACAAGAACAAGUUCUGUCAAGCUUCAAACUCUCGAUCCGCAAUCGAAUGAAAUACUCGAGUUUGAUGUUGCAGAAGAACCCCCGUCGUUAUUGGAUGUUGAAGUUUUUGACUUUGAUGGUCCUUUUGGUCAACCGGCUUCACUUGGGCAUGCAGAGAUUAGAUUCUUGAGACAUAUGUCUGAAGAAUUGUUUCCAUUCUUUUGUGUCUUUUCAUUUUGCAAACAGAAGUUGAUGCUUGAAGAACGGACCGAAAAAUUGAAAGUGAUUCUAAGCAGCAUUAUUCUUUUAUAAUGUAUUAGUUUCGUUGUUAGAUUUUGAUGUUUUCUUUCCUGUUUUAAAAGUUUUUGUAGUUUUAUUCUUUAACAAUAAAUGUAAUUCUUAACAAUUGUUACCUAUAUUCUACAAGAAAUAAUGUAUUUUUUGUUUUUAUUCUUCAA